rnacentral:tRNA from 1 species
ACAUUGAUGGUUCAGUGGUAGAACUCUUGCCUUCCAUGCAGGGGACCCAGGUUUAGUUCCCAGUCAAUGCA